rnacentral:rRNA from 1 species
UUCCCUUCGGGGCUUUCUGCAAGGUGCUGCAUGGUUGUCGUCAGCUCGUGCCGUGAGGUGUCGGGUUAAGUCCCAUAACGAGCGCAACCCUUAUCGUUAGUUGCCAUCUGGUAAUGCAGGGGACUCUAGCGAAACUGCCACCGUAAGGUGAGAGGAAGGUGGGGGAUGACGUCAAAUCAGCACGGCCCUUAUGUCCAGGGCUACACACGUGUUACAAUGGUCGGUACAGAGGGCAGCUACCUGGUGACAGGAUGCUAAUCUCGAAAACCGGUCUCAGUUCGGAUCGAAGUCUGCAACUCGACUUCAUGAAGGCGGAAUCGCUAGUAACCGCGAAUCAGCAGGUCGCGGUGAAUACGUUCCCGGGCCUU